rnacentral:rRNA from 1 species
AUACGGAGGACGCGAGCGUUAUCCGGAUUUAUUGGGUUUAAAGGGUGCGUAGGCGGUUUGCUAAGCGGGAGGUGAAAUGCCGGCGCUCAACGUCGGAAGUGCCUCCCGAACUGGUGGACUUGAAUGACUCUGCCGUGGGAGGAAUGUGUAGUGUAGCGGUGAAAUGCUUAGAGAUUACACAGAACACCGAUUGCGAAGGCAUCUCACGAAGGGUUGAUUGACGCUGAGGCACGAAAGCGUGGGGAUCAAACAGGAUUAGAUACCCUGGUAGUCCACGCAGUAAACGAUGAUGGCUAACCGCUGGGCUUAUCAGUUCAGUGGCCAAGCGAAAGCGAUAAGCCAUCCACCUGGGGAGUACGACCGCAAGGUUGAAACUCAAAUGAAUUGACGGGG